rnacentral:ncRNA from 2 species
UUGACAAUAUCGGAGACAGGUGCUUGCCGGAAAUUAGUAAUUCGGUAGGCUUAAUAGGGAAAUUCGGUUUGAAGCCGAUGCGGUCCCGCCACUGUAACGGAAGAGUCCAUAGCAACAUAUGUCACUGGCAAUUUACUACUGCUGGGAAGACUGCUAAGGAUGCUGACACCGCUAGCCAGGAGACCUGCCUGUUUCAACAGCACUGC